rnacentral:misc_RNA from 1 species
GAAAUUUUACUAAGCAGAGAAAAGAAGGGGAAAGCCAGUCCCUUGAUGGUGCUUUCUGCCUUUGUCCUCUCUCUUCUGCUAACGUUGAUGGGCCCUUCAUUAUUUUAAAGCAUUCAUUUUUAAUGUGAAAUUCUUGUAUGACGAUUGGUAUAUAGAGAAUUCAAAUUGGAUAUUGUACUGAGCAUUUCAGUUGAAACUCCCAGCAUGGAAUUCACCAUUGUAUUAGCAAAUUUAAUAGUUCUAGAGUCCAUGUCCAUUAGCAAACCUAAAAUGUGGGUAACAAACAGAAAAAAGCUUGAAGCCUACAGAACUCCAGCAUCUACAAGAAGGAAACACCAGUAACUAUUGUUAUGAUUUUCAACGUUCUUCCUUAGGAUAUGCAAAUAAAUAGCAGUGAAAUAAAUCCCAUGAACUGAUUUAGUACUGAG